rnacentral:rRNA from 1 species
GAUGAACGCUGGCGGCGUGCCUAAUACAUGCAAGUAGAACGCUGAAGGAAGGAGCUUGCUCUUUCCGGAUGAGUUGCGAACGGGUGAGUAACGCGUAGGUAACCUGCCUGGUAGCGGGGGAUAACUAUUGGAAACGAUAGCUAAUACCGCAUAACAGUAGAUGUUGCAUGAUAUCUACUUAAAAGGUGCAAUUGCACCACUACCAGAUGGACCUGCGUUGUAUUAGCUAGUUGGUGAGGUAACGGCUCACCAAGGCGACGAUACAUAGCCGACCUGAGAGGGUGGUCGGCCACCCUGGGACUGGGACACGGCCCAGACUCCCACGGGGAGCAGCAGUAGGGAAUCUUCGGCAAUGGACGGAAGUCUGACCGAGCAACGCCGCGUGAGUGGAGAAGGUUUUCGGAUCGUAAAGCUCUGUUGUAAGGGAAGAACGAGUGUGAGAGUGGAAAGUUCACACUGUGACGGUAUCUUACCAGAAAGGGACGGCUAACUACGUG